rnacentral:ncRNA from 1 species
CCGUUUCAAUGUUCAUCGCCUGAUUAGCGAUGCCCAGAGCGGCGAAACGGACACAAGUAAAUAUCAGUCAACCCACUGGGACGGUUGGCCAGUUAAGAAGUGAGGAUUCAUUCUUAUUUAUGGCCAGUUAUUUAUGGGAUGUCCUGCGUGGAUUCUCA